GACCCUGUGGCAUACGGUAUGCCUCCGCUUUCCUUUCGGCCAUAUCGUAUGCGUCUGGCGGAAGAUCCCGGUUCGAUUCCGGGCGGGGUCG